rnacentral:lncRNA from 10 species
GCUUGGACCCAGAAGGUGGAGGUCGGCAGUGACCCGAGUUUGUGUCACUUCACUCCAGCCUGAGCAACAGGGUGAGACUCUUAAAAAACAAGAAAGAGGCUGGGCGCGGUGGCUUAUGCCUGUAAUCCCAGCACUUUGGGAGGCCAAGACGGGCAGAUCACCUGAGGCCAGGAGUUCGAAACCAGCCAGGCCAACAUGGCAAAACCCUGUCUCUACUAAAAAAUACACAAAUUAGCCAGGCAUGGUGGCACAUGCCUAUAAUCCCAGAUACUUGGGAUUGGAAGGAGGAAGGAGAAUCGCUUGAAGGAGGGAGGAGGGAGGAAAGAGAAUAGCUUGAAUCUGGGAGGCGGAGGUUGCAGUAAGCAGAGGUCGUGCCGCCGCACUCCAGCCUGGGCAACGGAGUAAGACUCUGUCUCAAAAAACAAAACAAAACAAAACAAAACACCAAGAAAGAAAAAAAAUGAAAAAGAAGAGCAAAGAAGAGCCAGUAGAGUUCUCCAUGCACCUGCUCCAGGUAUAGACCCCAGGACUUUUGAGGGGCAGAUGAGGAUGCGAGCUCAUAGUUUCUGAAUGAAGAAACUGAGGCUAAGGAGGGUAAAAACUCUAUCCCAGUCACCAAGAGGUAAGAGGCUGCUACAGGCCAGACUCUUCUGCUUGGCUCAAAGCCCGGGGCGUUUUCCCAUAAUACUCUGUGUUAAUCGCUGGUGGGUUUCAAUGGUACAGAAAGAGGGAACCUCAAUCACCAACCCCUGUUUUCUUUUCACACAAGAAUGUGAGAAAUCUGUAGACUGGAUAGUCCCUUCCUUUCUCUGCUCUUCACGGCCAAGUGAGAAAUUCUGCGCAUCAAGAAAAGGGGAGAGAACUGAGCAUGCGUCUCCUCUUAGACGCAUCCUCCUCCCUUUCCUCAGAGCCUAAGCACUCACAUCUCCUCGUUGUGAAAAUGAAGGAUUUGAAUCUGGAAACGGGAAGCUGUGCACUCCAAUCACAUGAUCCGUAGUAGCCGUAACUAACUUCGUUCCCGAGAUGCACCAUUUUACUAGGAGGCUGUUGCUUCAUUUGGAACCCAUUGCUUUGUCCUUUUCAGAGAGGUUUUGUCACCCAGAGGAUCCAUGUCAACACCAAUGCCAGAAACCCACCUAUCCUAAAGUCACCUCACUCAGGCACUGACUUAACUGUCAAACAAUCGUCACUGAUUUUAUCUAAGCCACUCAGUAGGACUCCCUCUAACCAAACUGUCCCAUCCCCUUGCAUUUUUCUUUAAAGGUGCCAUUCAUUCCUCCAAGAGCAUGCAGCAUCUCAUAUCCGUAAGGUUUCUCAUGCCUAGGCUGCAGGGCUCCCUGACACUUCCAGAGGCAAUUUGUUCUUACUCUGCUCUCAAAACCGAGACCCAGUUCUGCCUUCUUUAGCGUGGGGUGCCUGCCUGCACCUGUUCUAUGGCUCCUAAUUCUCCUGGUGCUCUGUGUUUACUUCUCUUAUAAUGUUGACAGUACAGUGAUGUAACUUCUGGCUUGCUUGACUGCCAUUUUACAGAUGAAGAAGCUGAGGCUGAGGAGGGUAAAAACUCUACCUCAGGCUGGGCGCGGUGGCUCACACCUGUAAUCCCAGCACUUUGGGAGGCUGAGGCAGGCAGAUCACAAGGUCAGGAGAUCAAGACAAUCCUGGCUAACAUGGUGAAGCCCCGUCUCUACUAAAAAUACAAAAAAAAAAAAAAUUAGCCCGGCGUAGUGGUGGGCACCUGUAGUCCCAGCUGCUCAGGAGGCUGAGGCAGGAUAAUGGCGUGAACCCGGGAGACAGAGCUUGCAGUGAGCCGAGAUCAUGCCUGGGUGACAGAGCGAGACUCCGUCUCGAAAACAGAAAAACAAGAAACCAAAAAGCCCUACCUCAGUACCUCAGUCACCAAGAGCCCCAAGCAGAGUUACCGGAAGAUAGCUGACAUGUAUUAAAUGUUUGUGGAAUAAGGAAUACAUGAAGAAGUCUAUCAUUCAAUCAAAGAAAACUAAGUAUCAUUGGAGGUCUUUCCAUUUUGGGGUCCAGUGGGUGUCCUUUGAGUCAAGAGCAUGAUCUUCAAUAGACUUGGGGCCAGAAAUGUGACAUGUGUCUGAAUCCAAUCAGAUCCAGUUAAGAUCCACAAAUGCUAGUCACUGGAAUCUGCAGCCCUUGAAUUAAUUCUGUCCUUAGAUUUGAUAAGCCAAUGUCAGAUUUAUUGUUGUUAUUUAUUAUUCUGUCCCUCCAGGAUGACAUUAGGAACAUACUGUCAAGAAAAGGAUGAUGCGUGUGCUGCAAAAUGCAGGACAAUUCACUUUCCAGGUGGGGUCUGGGGCCUGUGGCUUCUCUGUGAACUUUCUUUGUGUGCUGUGGAAUAUUUUCCAGCUGCAGCCUAUUGUCCUGUGAUUAGACUCUGGGGCUCCACAGACUAAGACGGCACCUAGAAUGUGGUCCAGCACAUUGAGAAUAGAGCAGAAGAUGAAAGCUGGAGGGGCUGAGGGGCCUUGGAGGCAGAGUUGGGCUCAACUUCUCAUUCCCUGGGACGAACUGUGCACAGUAGCCUCUGCUCCUCCUUCUUCAGUGAAGACUGCGAUGCCUGUGUUGGGGCUCAGAAACCGAUACCCCAAAAUAUGAUGCUUUGUACAUGCUGAACUGAAACAGGAGCUUUAAGCUCUUUCAGGCCUCCCCACAUCUUACCGUCUCUCCCAAAGUGUAGGAUUCUCUGAAAGUCUUUGUCUGCCUAAAGUCCAGACCUACCAAUGAAGAAAACAAUCACCUCCUGCCCUUUGUCUGAGUUUUCAUGAGCUGAACCCAUAUUGCAGGAAGGAAGGCUAAGAUCUGUCAACACACCUGGGCAGACUUUUGUCACAAACCAUUGUCUGCUCUGAGGACCCAAAAGAGCUUGUCCCAGAUAAUUGCCUGUUCUUUAAGGCUAUUAAAUUCUCCCUGGUAACCAUUUACUGUCCUUCAACGGAAGUCCUCUUCUUCCCCCUCCCAUGACCUGUAUGACCAGCUCCCAUGCCCCCAUUCUUUCUGUAACCUCAAGAUGGUUUAUAAACUUCUGCGCCUCAUUGAGGGGUUGGGUCUUCAUUCUGAGGGCUCCCGUGUCACCUAAAGCUAUGGUCAGAUACAUUUGUAUGUGUUUUCUCCAAUUAAUCUGCCUUUCGUGAGUUGAUUUAUCGUGAAACUUCAGAGGAUGAAGGAGAAAUUUUCCCUUUGCACCUAUGCCUGCCACCCUCACAGGCUGUGUGAAGGUCCUUCUUCAAAAAAUACUGGCUAUUCUUGGCACUGACCUGGCCUCGGCUUUCAGGAAGAGAGGGGAGGCAGGCUCCCUUUCCCAAGACAUGCUGGCAGCCUGAGAGUCAAGGCCAUGGGGUGUUCACAGAUGAGGCCCCCUGAUAUUUACAUGUCUUAGGGAUCAGAAGUGGGCACAGCUGGGGCAGAGCGAGGAAGUGCUAACACCCACCAGGCAUCUGCGAGGGGACGCCCACAUCAAGAAAACCUCAGCACAAGGUUGAGUGUUUCAGCAAACCUCGGGGAGAUUGCACAUUUACUCAUGAAGAGACCACAUGGUGAGGUCAGCCCCAAAACCAGGCCAAUGUCUCUCAAGCCCAACUAGUUUUCAAGACAAUGUCUUGCAACUUAUAGAGUUUGGGGGGAAGGCAGUGUGAAGUUCAGGGGGGAAGGCAGUGUGAAGGUGAGCAUAUCAGUAGCUACCCACCAUGCUGGCUAAUCACUGGGAAAUUCUUUUAUAAACAGCCACAGUCUCUCUCAAGUUUUCCAAAAUUAGAACCUCUCCAAAUUUAUUUUUUUCAAGGCUUCAGAAAUAUCCCAUAAAUCUUUGAAAACGAAAAUUUCUUCUCUCUCCUCAGUCCUCACCCAGGGCUUCUGAUGCUGCCAGUCAAUCCCAAGUCAUGCUUGGUGUUUGGGGACCACGGCAGUGCAAAACCUCUGAGGGCCUGGGGAGAAGGAAUACCUGCAAGACUAAGAAUAAUGAAGGGAUAUAACAGAGGAUAGCCUCACUAUGCUCCUACUCCAGAAAAUUGGAUUAUUGUCUGCAAAGAUUCCUCAGUCUUGUGGACACUGAUGAAAUAUUGUAGACUGGAAUUGAAUCUGGCUUGUUGUCUGUUUGUUUAUUCCUGAGCCUGAUAAUUUAUUUGAACAACUUUGCCUUUCUAUAGUACAUGAUGAUCGGCAAGUUACUAUGACACGCAUUUGUACCCAUUGGACUCUGUGACCAUUCUGAAGAUAAGCUCUUGUCACCCUCCUCAUGGAAAAAAAUGGAGAUUCAUGAAAGUCAAAGGACUGGCCCAGGCUCUCACAGGCAAAGCUGGGAUUCCAACUUGUGUCUAAUGAGCCAGAAGCUCAGAGUCGUUUCCAC